AACGAAAAAACCCCGAUCUUCCCUUUCCCCUCGCUCGCCCCCGUCUCCUAGGGUUCCUUCCCAACCCCGUCUCCUAGAGAAAGCUAGGUCGAGCGCCAGAAAUCAUUCCCGUGCCGCCGCUACCCUCCUCCCCCGUCGCGGCGGCCGCCGACGCGACCUCCACCACGGAGACCUCGGCCUCCCCCGCGGAGGAGAAGCUAGGUCGACGGCGUGUGCUGGUGGUGGAUUAGCAGGCGACGGAUGAAGGAGCUUCGCGGCGCUGGCGAUCGACUGCAAGGUGGAGCGUGCGGCUGGCAGCGCGGGAUGGCUGAAGGGGAGUGGCGCCAGCGUGGAGCAGGGAGCAGAGGUAAGGGGCGGCUGGGAUCCAGAGGAGAAAGAGGGAGGCGCGCAGCAAUAGGGAGGGGGAGCAGCAGAGAAGGAAAAGGCCAGGGGAGAGGGCGCACGACAGCAGCGAGGGAGGGAGAAGGGAAUCGGUGGAGAGCAGAGAGAAUGGGGCGACGGGGAGAAGAGAAGGACAAAAUGAAUUGGUAGUAGCUUCAGCAAGUUGCAAUCUACUCGCUCGAACCUUCAUGUGAAAAGAUUUGAGGCUCGUGCCCCGUUGGAGGUCGAUCGUCCUCCAUCUCCAUCACUCUGCAGGACGCGAAGGUGCUUCCCCCACCCCCACCCCUACCUAUCUCCCUCUUAGGUAAAGGCCACGAGCGGGAAGGAGGAUAAGACACACUUGUUGUGCUUGAUCUGCUUCGAUGCGGUCGCUGCAGUGAGCCCGCUUCAGCGCUACCAUCAGGUGGAAGAGGGGCCUUCAACUCCAGCCUCGGGGUGUUGCGUGGUAUGAAAUUGCAUUCGAUUCAUGUUGAUUCGAUUGUGACUUAACCUGAUUUGUGAAAUUUUGUUUAUGGACAACCCUUGAGACUUAGAACAUCAAUAAAUAUUAGAACCAUGUUUCAAUUCAAUUAGGUAAUACUUAGGGUCUGAUUGCAUUGCACGCGCAAUAUAAUCCGCUGCAAUAAGUCAGAUUUCCCUACAGUUGCAAACACAUAAAAAUGUAUUUAGUUAAAGGCCUUCAUAAGAAGCGUGUAAAUAGUCUUUUAUUUUUUGCCUUUGUUAUCUGCCAGACUAUAGAUAGCAGCCUUGCAUGUUCAUUUAAUGACAGUGCACACAUACUGAUGCAUAUAUAUUGGGAGAGAGAUACAUGCUUCUGAAAGCAAUUAAGUUUUUGAUUGUAGUAAUUUUGUUCGGCUGUUAUUCAUGUAUGAGGGAGACAAGGUAAAGUGGGAGAUGGGCAGUUCAAGGUGCAUCUGUUGACCUGAUCAGUGCUGAGGGACGCAAAUUACAAGUAUAUCAGCUUUUUUUUUUUUGCCAAUCUUCUUUUCAUUUUAUUUUGGGUAAAGCUCUUCCAGCAUGUGUGACAACAAUGAUGAUUCUCCAUACAAGCCUGCUGUCAAGCGCAAGGCUUGUUCAAUAGUUGACAGUGGCAGUGAAGAUGAAGGUUUCAUGAGCUAAGAAAUAUAAUGGCAAAGUUUAUGUGCAGAGCAAGACUGGAAAUGUUCAGCCAGAUGACAAGACUAAGAAAGAGUAAAGAUGUCAUGAAAAAAAAGGUUUUGCUGGACUAUGGGAAAAUCGUCGAGUCUAAUGUAGGGGGGAAAGCCUUACAAGUUUAACAUUGGAUAUGGGAAGGGACAUCCUGGAUGGGAAGCUUUGCAAACUGACAAUUUCGACAUGGCUCCUGUAGGUAAUGUAAACAUCAGAACCUCCAGGUUAGAGCCAUCCCAUCUUCUCUCAAAGACAUGUAUGUGCUAAUUUUUGUCCAGAAUGACAUGCCUUCUCGGUUCCUACGAUGGUCCAGUUUUGAAUCUGUCUUCUAAGUAUAGAUUGUCCUUGAUGCUUUAAAUAUAUUAGCCUGCAGGCAAUUCCUUAUUUUACUUCAGUGUUCCUGCUUCAUUUGUGUAUUAUCUCCUGAAAUCUCAUGGAUCUCCUCAGAUGAUGAAGAUAUGAAUCCAUUUGACAUUCAUUUCUGCAAAUUAGAAUUGAAGAUAUAAACCUGUCUUUCUUCCUGUUAUUUGGAGUAAAUUAUGCUGACAAACGCAUGGAAUUCAUAUUACAGUGGAAUGCUUGGCAUGCUGUUCUUUCUUCUGGAAAAUAGAAGGUUUGUUUGCUGUCCGUCCUUUUAUUCUGGGAAAUAAAGGGGAGACCGGGAGGGAGAGCCUUGCUGAUCAGAAAAACUUAGAUUUACAAGUCAGUAUAUCACCAAACUUUAACUAUUUCUGUCGAUAUAUCCAUUUGAGGUUAUCCCUAUGCAGGUGUGCUAGAGAAGAUAUUUCUGUCGAUAUAUAUGACUUGAUGAUACUUAGACUACAAAGGGAGUCGACUUGUGAAAACGAUCUGAUUCUAGAAGUACAGCAUGAGCUAAUGUUUGAUUGUCUCUGAUGAAACUGACAACCUGCAAAGUCAAAUUUUGGGAGAUGAAAGCAGGAAGAAGUACAGCUUGAGAUUCUACUCGCAGGGCACUAAAAGCUUUUGGGCAAGCUGCCUCAACGAAAAUGGCAGAGCAGGAAGCUCUACCUUGCCCGGUGUAGUUAAAAUCAUUUUGCAAAAACAUUCAUUUCUGAUGGAGCAGUGGCAGGACCUUGAUUUUUCUCUUUACUCUUCCUUCCUUCUGUAUAACCUAUGUUUCUUCCCAAAAUUUGUAAUUUGACAACAGAUAUUCAGGUCUCCAUGCUAUUGGCUGCUCCACCAUUUUCCAUCCUCACAUGAUGUCUCAUCUUGAAAUUGAGAAUUUGUUUGCUGUGA